UUGUUUUUCACAGAUGUCUGUGCAUUUGAUGGAGCAACCAGAGUCACCUCUUCCAGAACUCACAAACUACUAUAUGUGGGGAAAGACCUUCACCGCUGGGUGGAUGUGAGGGCACUAUCUGGGUGGGAUGUGGCUCUUUUGAGUGCAUAAUGGUAUAGUCCCUAUGCAGUGCUAUUGGCUGGAUGGCAUCAGCAAAGAGUCCUCAACAGCUGAACCUGUGGAUGUUUCUGUAGUGGCAUCGAAAACUUCUGGGGUUCUCCCAAUUUCAUUUUCUCCAACAAGGGAAGUCAUGGCUAAGGAUUUUUCUACUGGGUCCUAUUUGUGGGAACACUAAUGAUGGUUGUGGAACUCUGGUUGAAGUAUGGCAGUUGUGGAGAAGUCAUGGAACCAGAGUUUGGAGCACAGUUACAUAUGGAUAGGCUGUGGGUCUGAGGCACCCAGGGUUGCAAGUUUCUCCUCUGCCACAUUGAUAGCAAUGUGUAAGAUCUGGGCAUUCACAGAGUGGCCACCAGAUUCUGAUUGGCCGUAUUGCCUCAGGCCUGUGGUAAGGCAGCCCAGCAGAGCAUAAGCACAUGGAAGAUGUAUCUGCCUCAUGAUUGGGAAGAAAAGAGAAAAGGAAGAGGUGGCUGAGGUCCCCAGUGACUGAAGACCCCCCCAUAGACCCCACAUCCUAAAGGCUCUACCACUUCCCAAUAGUGCCACCCAGGGUACGUAUUUAACUCCUGGACCUUUGGGGGACCUUUCUGAUCCAAACUGUGCCAUAUGCCCUGGAGUUUAAUAAGUCUCUAGUGUGAAUCUCUAUUCCUUCAGGUCCACUAUAUUACCCCGUGCUUGUUCCCUUUUCUUCUCCAAGUCUGUUUGACUUUUGCUUCUCCCCCACAUGCACUCCCCCAUUUUUUCCCUGAAGAUCCCAAGGGUCUUCUCAGUCCUCCUGAAAAGGAAGAUUUUACUUGGGAAGUGAUAGUGCACACUGGGCUGCCACUCAGCCACUCGAGAACUUCUGGCGAAAGCCCUAAUAAAAGCACAAUUUAUUGUGAUUUGAGAGAGGCCUCUGUCUUAAUUAUUUUUAUGGGGAAAAGUUCAUUCAGACCAGAACUUUUUGUGAAAUGUGGCUUUAGACCCUACUAAUCUCCAUGUCUUGAUGUAGCUAGAAAUACUGCUUUUUCUCCAGCUCCUUAGCCUUCUCUUCUGCACAGACUCCUGGUGAUUGAUGUGUGGAUUGACUUCCCAAAACUAUCAGGGAAGCCUGCCAAGUCAGCAGGAAUUCAUGCUUCUUCUGGUCUAAGACCAGCUGGCUGAAAUCUCCUCUUACAACCAUCUUAUUAUAAGCACACGACUUGUGUGCAGACUCAGAAUGAGUAUUCUGCCUCCCAUGUCUCCUCUGAAGUAUCUUGUUGUGUUCACAAGGAACUUGGAGCAGGUAAUUAG
rnacentral:lncRNA from 1 species